CAUGAUGAUGAUGAUGAUGAUGGUUGUACUGAAUCUGAACAAACAAAAGAAGACUGUGUGUGCAAUAAUCGUGAAAAUUUUUUUUUCCAAUGCCAAUAUUAUGCAAUUACGUUGCUGAUUGCUGAUGAUUCAAAACAGCCAACACCAUUGCAAACAUAUAUAGAUUCGUGUGUGUGUGUUUGUUUGAAAUCAAAUUUCCUUUAUCCUGUUCUGGUUGAUAAUAUUGCAAAUUGUGGAAAUUGUACCAGAUAAGAAUUGAGCAGAUUAGAAAAAAAACGAUAUAAACAUCAAGUAUAAAUAUGGGCUGUUAAUCCAACCAUCCAUUCAGUAUCAAUC